GCCCAGCUCCCAGCUCCCAGCCGCAGUGCCGGCUGAAACACUCGUCACUUCCUCUAGACAGGGCGGGAGGGGACCCGGGGGUGGAGAAGGGUUGGCUUGUCGCUGACCCCUCUUCCUUGGUGAUCAGCAAGCCCUGCGGACGAGGGCACGGCCCCGGGAGGGGUCUCGCGGCGUUACCUGAUCUCCUGCAGUCCAGACCCGCUGGGAACCCACUCCCAGAGACCCUCGGCAGCUCUGAAGAGCACGAUCCCCCCCGCCGGCCUCGCACCUGCCAACUCCGGAGGGGCCGUAGGUUCUGGCGCAGACACAACGGGUGGCCCGGCCCCAGAAGGGAGGAGACUGUCGGGCACGUCCAGGCAACAGCUGCUCCGUGGAGCUUCUGUCACGGAUCGAACAGGGAGAGAAGAGCCGGCUUUUGCGUAGAACGUAACAAGGAAGUAAAAGGACAGAAGCAACAGUGGCAAGGACCACCCGGCCUCCGGAUGAGAAGAAAGCGCACAGCAUGCUCCGUCCACAGGCCAGGCACCGCCGGUGUUGGGUCUAACCCUCUAAGAACCAGCACAGAAUGGAAAUGGACCGGCACACAGUGAUGGUGUCGGGUAAUAAAAAUGCAUCUAGUGAACCAGGGAUUUUCAGUCUUUCUUGGGAAGAACAGAUGGGACUUUCCUGGAUGUUUUUUCAUCUCUAAGAACAGUCACUGGCACCUCCUUCAAGGCUUUGAAUGGGGAAUCUUUGGUGGAAUGUUGAGCACCACGCCUGGAAAAAAAGAAGUUGAUCAGUAAGAUUAGGGUCCUUUCUUUCUUCAUGUAACUCCUGGAGAAACUGAUCCACGAGCGGGUAAGACUCAUAGAAAUUAGCCAGUUUGGCUGUUGCCAGUCAACGGGCCCCAGAAGAAUCCAGAACGACACCUGAGCCUCCUGAUCCCGCCCCGAGCUCCACUCUCACAGUGACCCCCGAGCCCUGCAUCGCCUGUGCUUUCAUCGGCAGAGGUGUCACUGAACGCGGUGGAUGCUCCCUUCUGCUGUGUGCUUUCCAUGCGGUGUAUCCACAGGAACAAGCAAUGUGUGAAGCCGGGUCUCAGGCUGCUGGCCCGUGAGGAAGAGCCGAGAGUGGGGGCCCAAGGCCCACAUCCAGUCAGCAGGCCUGUCUAACAAAGCCCUUUACUGGGCGUCCAGGGUCGGAGAGUCAAUCCGGAGCCCCUCUGCCAAAGGAAGAGACGAGAAGACAAGAGGAACCGAGGACAGGUUCCUGCUGUCAGGAAAUCCCCAGUGUCUCGGAGACGUGCCCCUUCGUGCCCACGAUGGAGGGAUGUCGGCGAGUGGAAGAUGGAUCCCACUCGAGAGCAGCAGUGGGGGUGCCGAGCAGUCAGCCGUCUGAGGUGGACGGGUGUCCACGGCUGUUGUCGCUUGCCGCGUGCAGAGGGCGGCGUGGGCUCUGAAAGUGGCCAAAUAAACCCUGGUCUCAGCCGUUUUGCCCUGUCUCAGGGCUCUGUGGCCUCUCCCUUUGGGGAUGUGGUAGAUGCUUGGGUCUACAAGCACCGUUUUUGAAAGAGCUCUUUGUUUGUCGUGAAACCACCAGACGUCCAACCAGUCCCUGGGACCACAGGCCACCCGAGGGACACCUGGCCGCCUUCCCGACCCCUGUGGGAUCCCCGCUCACUUCCCUCAGAUCAGAGCCACACAGACAUCUCCCAAAGCACAAGGUCCUUCAUGUCCUGAGACUGAACACCUAUUUGGAACGUUUCCUCUACAACAGUCGUCACAUCAUCGCAUGGAAUCACAGCCUCCACCUCUGCUGAUGUGUGAAUAUUCCCGACGAACGUGCUGGAACCACAGAGCAGAACAGCAUGGGGUUCAGACCCUAGACUCGGGUACCUGCCCUGGUGCUGAAGAGCCCAACUUCCUUGGAGAUGCACUUCCAAUCUCAGCUUCCCCCUGGAGAAAACGGAGGAGCAAACUACAUAAGCUUGCUUUAAGCUUUAAACCUGUCAAGAUAUAUGAGCUUAUCCUUUGUAAAACUGUAAAACAGUAUACAAGUAUAACUUUUACUGUAAUAUAACAUACCCAGAUUAAAAUAAGUGUUGUUAAGACAAUUUUGUGAGGAGAGGACAUACUGUGGGCAUCUAAGUUAACUGUCAGGAGGGUCCCCCUCAUAUAGCAUCUUAGGAGGGAUUCUUUAACUCAGAACUUUAAAGGAAUGACUCAUUCUGCAAAAGGAAAAUACGUCCUUUACUCCAUCUACUUAUUUUGCACAAGUGUUAGGGACUUAAGGUUUGUAUGCUUCCGAAAUUCAUAUUCCUAUGUUGAAGCCCUAACACCCACCGUGGCUGUCUUUGGAGAUGGGGUUUCUAAGGAAAUAAUGGGGGUUAAAUGAGGUCAUACGAGUGGGUCCCUGAUCCAAGAGUGUUAGUGUCCUCAUAGGAGGAGACACCAGAGAGUCUCUCUCUCUCUUCACACAAAGAAGAGGUCAUGCGAGGACACGCGGAGAAGAAGGGGAGCCCUUACCAGGUACCUUGACCCUGGACGUCCAGCCUCCAGACUGUGAGAAUAAAUGUCUGUUGUUUAA